rnacentral:rRNA from 1 species
AUUGAACGCUGGCGGAAUGCUUUACACAUGCAAGUCGAACGGCAGCACGGACUUCGGUCUGGUGGCGAGUGGCGAACGGGUGAGUAAUGUAUCGGAGCGUGCCCAGUCGUGGGGGAUAACGUAGUGAAAAUUACGCUAAUACCGCAUACGAUCUAUGGAUGAAAGCGGGGGAUCGCAAGACCUCGCGCGAUUGGAGCGGCCGAUAUCAGAUUAGGUAGUUGGUGGGGUAAAGGCCCACCAAGCCAACGAUCUGUAGCUGGUCUGAGAGGACGACCAGCGACCAUGGAACUGAGCCACGGUCCAGACUACUACGGGAGGCAGCAGUGGGGAAUUUUGGACAAUGGGCGAAAGCCUGAUCCAGCCAUUCCGCGUGCAGGAUGAAGGCCCUCGGGUUGUAAACUGCUUUUGUACAGAACGAAAAGGUUUCUACUAAUACUAGGAGCUCAUGACGGUACUGUAAGAAUAAGCACCGGCUAACUACGUGCCAGCCGCCGCAGUAA